AUUGAACGCUGGCGGCAGGCUUAACACAUGCAAGUCGAGCGGGGUGAUGGUGCUUGCACUAUCACCUAGCGGCGGACGGGUGAGUAAUGCUUAGGAAUCUGCCUAUUAGUGGGGGACAACAUUCCGAAAGGAAUGCUAAUACCGCAUACGUCCUACGGGAGAAAGCAGGGGAUCUUCGGACCUUGCGCUAAUAGAUGAGCCUAGGUCGGAUUAGCUAGUUGGUGGGGUAAAGGCCUACCAAGGCGACGAUCUGUAGCGGGUCUGAGAGGAUGAGCCGGCACACUGGGACUGAGACACGGCCCAGACUCCUACGGGAGGCAGCAGUGGGGAAUAUUGGACAAUGGGCGCAAGCCUGAUCCAGCCAUGCCGCGUGUGUGAAGAAGGCCUUAUGGUUGUAAAGCACUUUAAGCGAGGAGGAGGCUACUUUAGAUAAUACCUAGAGAUAGUGGACGUUACUCGCAGAAUAAGCACCGGCUAACUCUGUGCCAGCCGCCGCCGUAAGAC
rnacentral:rRNA from 1 species